rnacentral:lncRNA from 1 species
CCAGGAUAGGGCGAUCCUGGAAGCUGGGCUUCGGAAGCGUGCAGAAACUCCUAGAGGGCAGAGGCAUGCCUGCCAUCUUCAUCAUUGCAUUACCAUCACCCAACACUAUCAGGGGACCUGCCCUGAUAAUCAGUCUACAGUUGUAUCCAGCAGCUCCAGAGAGACAGCGACCAGCAAGAAGGGGCCAUGAUGAUGGUGGUGGUUUUUUCAAAACGAAAAGGGGGAUAUGUAGGGAAAAGAAAGAGAGAUCAGACUCUUACAGACUCUUACUGUGUCUACAUAGAAAGGGAAGACAUAAGAGACUCCAUUUGGAAAAAGACCUGUACUUUAAACAAUUGCUUUGCUGAGAUGUUGUUAAUCUGUAGCUUUGCCCCAGCCACUUUGCCCCAACCACUUUGACCCAGUCUGGAGCUCACAAAAACAUGUGUUGUAUGAAAUCAAGGUUUAAGGCAUGUAGGGCUGUGCAGGAUGUGCCUUGUUAACCAAAUGUUUGCAAGCAGUAUACUUGGUAAAAGUCAUCACCAUUCUCUUGUCUCAAUAAACCAGGGGCACAAUGCACUGUGGAAAGCCGCAGGGACCUCUGCCCUUGAAAGCUGGGUAUUAUUCAAAGUUUCCCCCCAUGUGAUAGUCUGAAAUAUGGCCUCGUGGGAUGAGAAAGGCCUGACGGUCCCCUAGCCCGACACCCAUAAAAGGUCUGUGCUGAGGUGGAUUAGUCAAAGAGGAAAGACUCUUGCAUUUGAGAUAGAGGAAGGCCACUGUCUCCUGCCUGCCCCUGGGAACUGAAUGUCUCGGUAUAAAACACGAUUGUACAUUUGUUCAAUUCUGAGAUGGGAGAAAAACCGCCCUAUGGUGGGAGGUGAGACAUGUUUACAGCAAUACUGCCUUGAUAUUCUUUACUCCACUGAGAUGUUUGGGUGGAGAGAAACAUAAAUCUGGCUUACAUGCACGUUCAGUCAUAGUACCUUCCCUUGAACUUCAUUAUGACAUAGAUUCUAUUGCUCACAUGUUUGUUGCUGACCUUCUUAUUAUCACCCUGCCCUCCUACUACAUUCCUUUUUGCUGAAAUAAUAAAGAUAGUAUUCAAUAAAAACUGAGGGAACUCAGAGACCGGUGCCAGUGCAGGUCCUUGGUAUGCUAAGCGCCGGUACCCUGGGCCCACUGUUGUUUCUCUAUACUUUGUUUCUGUGUCUGAUUUCUUUUCUGUCUCUCAUCCCACCCAACAAGAAAUACCCACAGGUGUGGAGGGGCAGGCCACCCCUUCAGUAUGAGAUUACAGGCAUGAAUAACCCCACCUGGCCACCUAACUCACACUUGAGAGGCCAGAAGUGAUGCUGG